rnacentral:rRNA from 1 species
AGGCGAACCGGGGGAACUGAAACAUCUAAGUACCCCGAGGAAAAGAAAUCAACCGAGAUUCCCCCAGUAGCGGCGAGCGAACGGGGAGCAGCCCAGAGCCUGAAUCAGUGUGUGUGUUAGUGGAAGCGUCUGGAAAGGCGCGCGAUACAGGGUGACAGCCCCGUACACAAAAAUGCACAUGCUGUGAGCUCGAUGAGUAGGGCGGGACACGUGGUAUCCUGUCUGAAUAUGGGGGGACCAUCCUCCAAGGCUAAAUACUCCUGACUGACCGAUAGUGAACCAGUACCGUGAGGGAAAGGCGAAAAGAACCCCGGCGAGGGGAGUGAAAAAGAACCUGAAACCGUGUACGUACAAGCAGUGGGAGCACGCUUAGGCGUGUGACUGCGUACCUUUUGUAUAAUGGGUCAGCGACUUAUAUUCUGUAGCAAGGUUAACCGAAUAGGGGAGCCGAAGGGAAACCGAGUCUUAACUGGGCGUUAAGUUGCAGGGUAUAGACCCGAAACCCGGUGAUCUAGCCAUGGGCAGGUUGAAGGUUGGGUAACACUAACUGGAGGACCGAACCGACUAAUGUUGAAAAAUUAGCGGAUGACUUGUGGCUGGGGGUGAAAGGCCAAUCAAACCGGGAGAUAGCUGGUUCUCCCCGAAAGCUAUUUAGGUAGCGCCUCGUGAAUUCAUCUCCGGGGGUAGAGCACUGUUUCGGCAAGGGGGUCAUCCCGACUUACCAACCCGAUGCAAACUGCGAAUACCGGAGAAUGUUAUCACGGGAGACACACGGCGGGUGCUAACGUCCGUCGUGAAGAGGGAAACAACCCAGACCGCCAGCUAAGGUCCCAAAGUCAUGGUUAAGUGGGAAACGAUGUGGGAAGGCCCAGACAGCCAGGAUGUUGGCUUAGAAGCAGCCAUCAUUUAAAGAAAGCGUAAUAGCUCACUGGUCGAGUCGGCCUGCGCGGAAGAUGUAACGGGGCUAAACCAUGCACCGAAGCUGCGGCAGCGACGCUUAUGCGUUGUUGGGUAGGGGAGCGUUCUGUAAGCCUGUGAAGGUGUACUGUGAGGUAUGCUGGAGGUAUCAGAAGCGCGAAUGCUGACAUAAGUAACGAUAAAGCGGGUGAAAAGCCCGCUCGCCGGAAGACCAAGGGUUCCUGUCCAACGUUAAUCGGGGCAGGGUGAGUCGACCCCUAAGGCGAGGCCGAAAGGCGUAGUCGAUGGGAAACAGGUUAAUAUUCCUGUACUUGGUGUUACUGCGAAGGGGGGACGGAGAAGGCUAUGUUGGCCGGGCGACGGUUGUCCCGGUUUAAGCGUGUAGGCUGGUUUUCCAGGCAAAUCCGGAAAAUCAAGGCUGAGGCGUGAUGACGAGGCACUACGGUGCUGAAGCAACAAAUGCCCUGCUUCCAGGAAAAGCCUCUAAGCAUCAGGUAACAUCAAAUCGUACCCCAAACCGACACAGGUGGUCAGGUAGAGAAUACCAAGGCGCUUGAGAGAACUCGGGUGAAGGAACUAGGCAAAAUGGUGCCGUAACUUCGGGAGAAGGCACGCUGAUAUGUAGGUGAAGUCCCUCGCGGAUGGAGCUGAAAUCAGUCGAAGAUACCAGCUGGCUGCAACUGUUUAUUAAAAACACAGCACUGUGCAAACACGAAAGUGGACGUAUACGGUGUGACGCCUGCCCGGUGCCGGAAGGUUAAUUGAUGGGGUCAGCGCAAGCGAAGCUCUUGAUCGAAGCCCCGGUAAACGGCGGCCGUAACUAUAACGGUCCUAAGGUAGCGAAAUUCCUUGUCGGGUAAGUUCCGACCUGCACGAAUGGCGUAAUGAUGGCCAGGCUGUCUCCACCCGAGACUCAGUGAAAUUGAACUCGCUGUGAAGAUGCAGUGUACCCGCGGCAAGACGGAAAGACCCCGUGAACCUUUACUAUAGCUUGACACUGAACAUUGAGCCUUGAUGUGUAGGAUAGGUGGGAGGCUUGGAAGUGUGGACGCCAGUCUGCAUGGAGCCGACCUUGAAAUACCACCCUUUAAUGUUUGAUGUUCUAACGUUGACCCGUAAUCCGGGUUGCGGACAGUGUCUGGUGGGUAGUUUGACUGGGGCGGUCUCCUCCUAAAGAGUAACGGAGGAGCACGAAGGUUGGCUAAUCCUGGUCGGACAUCAGGAGGUUAGUGCAAUGGCAUAAGCCAGCUUGACUGCGAGCGUGACGGCGCGAGCAGGUGCGAAAGCAGGUCAUAGUGAUCCGGUGGUUCUGAAUGGAAGGGCCAUCGCUCAACGGAUAAAAGGUACUCCGGGGAUAACAGGCUGAUACCGCCCAAGAGUUCAUAUCGACGGCGGUGUUUGGCACCUCGAUGUCGGCUCAUCACAUCCUGGGGCUGAAGUAGGUCCCAAGGGUAUGGCUGUUCGCCAUUUAAAGUGGUACGCGAGCUGGGUUUAGAACGUCGUGAGACAGUUCGGUCCCUAUCUGCCGUGGGCGCUGGAGAACUGAGGGGGGCUGCUCCUAGUACGAGAGGACCGGAGUGGACGCAUCACUGGUGUUCGGGUUGUCAUGCCAAUGGCACUGCCCGGUAGCUAAAUGCGGAAGAGAUAAGUGCUGAAAGCAUCUAAGCACGAAACUUGCCCCGAGAUGAGUUCUCCCUGACUCCUUGA